AAAUCUCUCUUCAGUGUCAUAUUCUUUAGUAGAAAGAUGUACCACAUACGAAUAUCAAUGAUUCUGCAAAGAAAGUGCUUCCACAAAAUAUCACUUGUAUUCGUCGAAUGUCCACCAUAGUGGUAGUGCGGAACAACAGGAAAAUGCUAGCAUCCCCCACACCACUGCGAUCUUGCUGAACAAUCUAUACAUUAUGGCACGCUUUGACAUUGCACUUCAUCAAGGAGGCCCAUGAAACGAUUUUGGUUCGCCAGGAAGUGAGUCUGAAGGGGGCCAAAACGAUUCACCUCAGACGACGAUGUCCAGCUGUACAUGCAGAACCGGUUAACAUCGCAGCCCAGGGAAUUUUAUGAGACAACUGUUCACCGCCUUGUGUCACAGUGGGACAAGUGUCUCAACAGUCAGGGUCAAUGCUUCUAAC